rnacentral:rRNA from 1 species
UACGGAGGAUUCGAGCGUUAUCCGGAUUUAUUGGGUUUAAAGGGUCCGUAGGCGGGCUAAUAAGUCAGUGGUGAAAUCCCAGAGCUCAACUCUGGAACUGCCAUUGAUACUGUUAGUCUUGAAUUUAGUUGAGGUGGGCGGAAUACGUUAUGUAGCGGUGAAAUGCAUAGAUAUAACGUAGAACACCGAUUGCGAAGGCA